rnacentral:rRNA from 1 species
AUGGAUGGGAUUAGAUUGUGCAGGAAUGCACCGUCCAUUUCACAACUUUUAUUUGCUGAUGAUUCUUUAAAACUCACUAAAGCAAAUGUGUUAAAUGCAACUUCCUUACAACAAACACUAGAUACCUACUGUCAGAGUUCAGGACAGAUGGUGAGUUUGGCUAAGUCAAGCAUAUUCUUUAGUCCUAAUACUACUGUGGUCUCAAGAGCAGAGAUCUGUCAAAUUUUGCAUAUUGAUACUGAAGCACUUUCAGACAAGUACCUUGGCCUCCCAGCUUUAGUGGGAGAUGACAGAAGUGAUUGCUUCACGCAUUUUGUAGAGAGAAUCAAAAUCAGGUUAAUGGGUUGGAUGGAAAAAAUCCUUUCUAUUGGAGGAAAGGUGAUCUUAUUGAAAGCAGUGGCCCAAGCCAUACCUGUUUAUGCCAUGUCUGUUUUUAGUUUACCUAGAGGUAUUUGCAAAGAUAUCACAUAUAUUAUUGCACAAUUUUGGUGGCGCGAUGAUGCAAAUAACAAAAGAAUACAUUGGAUGGCUUGGUAG